rfam:Glycine max cultivar Williams 82 chromosome 10, whole genome shotgun sequence.
UUCUUAUUGGAUAAUAAUUGUUAUGUGUCAUGUUCUGAUUGGAUGUCAACUCCAUGAAAGAUGAAAUGCAUUGUUGUUUUCAUUAACCAAUCAGAGCAUAAUAUAUGACAGUUAUCAUCC